UAUAUUUAAUUCCUUUAAUUUUACCAGUUAUUAAAAAAAAAUAUGCAUUAUCACUACGGCAUCAGUAUUAAAGUGCUUUACCUAUGUAAUUACUUAACUAGUCAAUUUUAAAAUUAUCGUAAUUUUCAUAAAUAGCUUUUCUCGUCUAAUCCUUUUAAAUGGUUAUUGCCGUAAACAAAUCACCAAUUUUAAUGCGGAAAAUGUUUUCUUUGUUUACUGAGUGACGAAGAACCGGCAGUACCUGUCAAGAACUUAACAACAGCAGUCUUCAGCAGAAGUUCCAGUCAUACUUACCGUGGAUUAAACUUUGAAGUGAUUUAGUGACAUAUGGAUCUUAUCAUUUGCAUCACGGUCAUGUGUUACGCAAAUAUGGAAUAAUUCUAUCAAGUUACCAUUGGACCCGGACCUGCCAAAGGGGAACCCGCUUACCUAUCUCCUAAAUCACACUAAAAACAAGAUGUGUUUGUAUACUUUCGGAUUCAUUUCAUUGGCCUCCGGAUGAUGCAGCCCAAGUACUCACUUCCUAUCCUUAUGGUUCACGUCAAGUGUUUGUUUGUCAUUCAGAAGUUUAUUUUUGUGGUUCGAUGAUAUACAUUACAAUUAAAUUCAUUGUAACUUA